CGCUAGCUCUUUGCUUAACACAUGCAAGUCGAGGGGCAGCAUGGUCUCAUCUUGCUAAGGCCGAUGGCGACCGGCGCACGGGUGAGUAACACGUAUCCAACCUGCCGUCUACUCUUGGACAGCCUUCUGAAAGGAAGAUUAAUACAAGAUGGCAUCAUGAGUCCGCAUGUUCACAUGAUUAAAGGUAUUCCGGUAGACGAUGGGGAUGCGUUCCAUUAGAUAGUAGGCGGGGUAACGGCCCACCUAGUCUUCGAUGGAUAGGGGUUCUGAGAGGAAGGUCCCCCACAUUGGAACUGAGACACGGUUCAAACUCCUACGGGAGGCAGCAGUGAGGAAUAUUGGUCAAUGGGCGAGAGCCUGAACCAGCCAAGUAGCGUGAAGGAUGACUGCCCUAUGGGUUGUAAACUUCUUUUAUAAAGGAAUAAAGUCGGGUAUGGAUACCCGUUUGCAUGUACUUUAUGAAUAAGGAUCGGCUAACUCCGUGCCAGCAGCCGCGGUAAUACGGAGGAUCCGAGCGUUAUCCGGAUUUAUUGGGUUUAAAGGGAGCGUAGAUGGAUGUUUAAGUCAGUUGUGAAAGUUUGCGGCUCAACCGUAAAAUUGCAGUUGAUACUGGAUAUCUUGAGUGCAGUUGAGGCAGGCGGAAUUCGUGGUGUAGCGGUGAAAUGCUUAGAUAUCACGAAGAACUCCGAUUG
rnacentral:rRNA from 1 species